rnacentral:lncRNA from 1 species
GCGAAGUCAUCAUACAGGGGAUGGUCUUCAAAGUGGUCGAUGAAGUUCUGAACUGCUACCUCCCCUGCAGACUUCAACUCCUCCUUCAAAGAGGUAAUCUCCUCUGACUGAGCCUCUGCCUUCUGCCUCAGCUCUGCCUUCUCUUUGUUUAAGGUCUCCAGAGCCUCGGUGGCGAGCUUGUGGUGCAUGUUGGCGUGAUCGAGUCACCGAGUCAC